GUCUUUUUGAUUAUAAUUUAAAGUCUAACCUGCUCUAUGAUAAUUAAAUGGCCGCAGUAUAUUGACUGUGCAAAGGUAGCAUAAUAAUUAGUUUUUUAAUUGAAAGCUGGAAUGAAUGGUUGAACAAAAAAUUAACUGUCUCUAAUUAAAUAUUAAAAUUUUAUUUAUAAGUAAAAAAGCUUAUGUAUAAUAAAAAGACGAGAAGACCCUUUAGAAUUUUAUAAAAACGUUAAUUAAGUUAUUUAAGAUAGUUAUAAAUUUAUUUAAUUUUUUUAUUUUGUUGGGGUGGUAUAAAAAUUUAAUAAACUUUUUAUAAUUUAAAACAAUAAUUAUUGAGAUUUUGAUCGUAAAUUACAUUAAAAGAUUAAAUUACCUAAGGGAUAACAGCGUAAUUUUUUUAAAAAGUUCUUAUUGAAAAAAAAGAUUGCGACCUCGAUGUUGGAUUAAAAUUAAUUAUUGGUGAAGAAGCUAAUAAAUUAGGUCUGUUCGACCUUUAAAAUUUUACA
rnacentral:rRNA from 1 species